GACGAACGCUGGCGGCGUGCUUAACACAUGCAAGUUGAACGGAAAGGCCCUGCUUUUGUGGGGUGCUCGAGUGGCGAACGGGUGAGUAACACGUGAGUAACCUGCCCUUGACUUUGGGAUAACUUCAGGAAACUGGGGCUAAUACCGGAUAGGAGCUCCUGCUGCAUGGUGGGGGUUGGAAAGUUUCGGCGGUUGGGGAUGGACUCGCGGCUUAUCAGCUUGUUGGUGGGGUAGUGGCUUACCAAGGCUUUGACGGGUAGCCGGCCUGAGAGGGUGACCGGCCACAUUGGGACUGAGAUACGGCCCAGACUCCUACGGGAGGCAGCAGUGGGGAAUAUUGCACAAUGGGCGGAAGCCUGAUGCAGCAACGCCGCGUGCGGGAUGACGGCCUUCGGGUUGUAAACCGCUUUCGCCUGUGGCGAAGCGUGAGUGACGGUAAUGGGUAAAGAAGCACCGGCUAACUACGUG
rnacentral:rRNA from 1 species